UGUCUGCAGUCCGGGGCCGCGGGGUGGGAACCGACUGUGGGCAAAACUCAGUCCAAGUCACAGAGUUUCUAAUGUUACAAGGAAGCAGAGUAAAAGUUCAGCAAGUGCGAUGGGACGUAGAGAGGAAUGAAGGGGUCCAAGAACAGAUUACGCGAGGCGCAGCUGUUCGCUUCCUUUUCAGGAGAAGCGGUGAUGUUUCCUCAGUGAUUUGCCUCUAGUCAGAUAAACACAGCUGGUGGUAAGAGAUUCAUCAGGCUGGGCAGAGCUACACAUCAGCCCGAAAGAGGAAGGCAGGUGCUCUACAGAGGAAAACAAGCCAUGGUGCUCAUCUCAAGGAUUUCAUUUCUCAAACUGAGACAGCGUCAAAACACACUGAAGAUAAUUUAUGGACCACAUAACAAGAACAGAACUGUCUCAGGAGCAGGCCCAGGUACCCCAGGAACUCUGAUCUCCCCACUGCUGUCUCACAGACUGACAACAUGGAACUCAUUCGGUCGUGUGUGAUGUUUUUGUGACACUGGUGGUGCUUUGGUAUUUGAAGUUGUGAGUUCACCUUUACCCAUACUUGGCACUGUUUUUUCCGAGUUCACAGUUUUAGAUCUACCCAAGACUGAAGUUUGGAGAAGUAAACAAUAGCCUUCAAAGGUAACGUGAGUACUGACUGUGAUUUACUUUAGGUAAUCCUUCAGGUGGGCAGUGACCUGCAUCUUUGUGCUGAGAGUGUCUGUUAAGGAGUCCUGUAACUUGCUGUCCUUUAUUGCGCUGCACUGCUGUACCAUUUAUUUAAUAAUGUACUUAUAUAAUGUACUUAUAAGUACAUUAAUAAUGUACUUAAAUAUCUGAAUCUUGAAAUUUGUUGCCUGAUUCUGUAGCAUUCAUCCUUCUCAUCCAGUGAAACUAUCCGCUCUCCUCAAGUGAGAAAGACAUAAAAUUACUUUGUAUUUUUCCUUCAUCUGAGACUUCAGUUUCUACAAAAAUCUGAAGGCUACUUCUGAGGGUAACAGCUGUGCUAUUUUGUUUUCUGUUAUCAGUGUUUCUUUUUUAUUAAUGUUUAUGUUAUUUCUCAGUUAACGUGGCAGCCUAACAUUUAGGUAGAAGAGAAUCUGAUUUUACUUAGAAGGCAUUUUAUUUAUUUGAGGCUAUUCUAGAUGUCUUGUUUAAGGGAUGUAUCACAACUUAACUGAUGACCUCAUCCUCCUUCUGUGCAAUUACACUUCUACGUAACAAAGAGAUGGCCAUAUUUAUCCAAGGGAAAUGGAAUUACAUAAUAGAGAAUUAAGCUUGUCAAAAUAGUAUAUAAAUGAUGUAUAGUAUAUAGCAUAUAAAUACUUUUGCCUGGUAAGUAGAGAGAUUUCCAAUGUGUUCUGAAAAUUUGGUCCUUGGACCGAGGCAAAAAAUGAUCACCUCAAGGUAAAAUACAAGUCUCUAGUCCUUUUAAAAAAUAGUAGUUACGUAUAAAUGGGUGAUCAUGUUAGAACUCCUUGCUUUGAUUAAUCUUAUGAAUUAAAUUUAUCAGCUGCAAAAUUUGCUGCAUCAGGAUUUUCACAAUGAUCCCCCCUCGAAGAGAUGGCAUCUAAUGUACUAAAGUGAAGGCUGAUAUCAAAAGAGUUUGAAGCUCCGUUUAAAGUGCUAAUCAGAGGUAUGUCUGCAACCAACAACUGCUCUUACAGUACGUCUGGCUUGGCUUGUGGUAAUGCUGCAUAAUGAUUUAUAGCGAGAGCUUUAUAAAACCUCUCUCGUACAGAAAAGACUUCAAGGGAGCGGGUGAGGCUUCUUUACUUAGUUCCUUUCAGUGGUUCAGCACUCUGCAGAGGCCUUCUAAAAUGCCAUGGAUAUUAACAUAUACACAAGCACAGCUGGGAUGCAAUUUUUCUCCUGGCAUCUUUCUCUUCGUGGCACCUUUCAUUCAGAUAUAAACAGGUACCAGGAAAAUACUAACAAGUAUAUUUUUGAAGAAAUAAAGUCUUGAACUAAGGUCUUCAAGAGUGCCAGCAUUUUUAUUCUUCAAUUCUGAGUACAUGUGAGGCUGAUUAGGAACUCUAAAUACAGAAAGGUGCAUGCUAAAUGCAGUAGAUCUUUAGUAUAACUUGUUUAGAUACUCUCUUUAUUAAAGCAGCAUUAUUUCUGUCCAAAUUGAAAUGCUUUAAAAAAAUAUGCAGAGUUGAUCUGUUUGAAGAAAAGUUAAUAAAGCAUUAAAAAAAACAACAUAUACACAAAAACCAUCAAUAACUGCACAACAAAUUUUAUUUCGCACAUCCAGGAAGGAAUGUUUGGAACACUCAAAAAUUAAUAAAAUGUGAAUUGCUGUACUUAAUCUAAAGAAGAUUGAACUCUGAAUGAAACUUUGUUGCAACUGCAGCAAAAUAGAAUUUAAGUUGAAAUUGGAAAAAACUGACAACUUGAAAUGUCCUUUGAAAUAGAAAAUCCAAUUCCAGGACAGGUCUGAUUAUGGUUUCCUAUGACUAAAUAAUUUUGAUUAUUUUUAAGAGAGAGAAAAGUCAACUCACAAAUGCAAGUGUUGUAUUAAAAAUCUUAGACUAAUUAUUCUUUAGCAAAGCACAAAAUUCUCCAUUACCUGAAGUAUACCUGAAGUAUAGAUUGCUCUUCUUUUGCUGACGUCUGAGAACUUUUUAGUUCCAGUUGACCUCUGUAUGUUUUAAAUGUGGUAUUACCUUUGGAACAAAGAAAUCAUGUCAGACAAGCUGUUAGGAUGUCUGGACACAUCUCCAUACAUCACCACAACAUGUUAUGCCAUAGGUCCCACUGGAAGCUGGAAAGUGAUAGAAAGCUGGGAAAUUCUAUUAUUAGAAAGAACACCUACGUAAAUGGAAGAAAUGCUGGUGGAUGCAGAUGUCAUUAAUUUAAAGGAAGCUGAGCCCGUUCAUUAGCUCUUUCUUCUGUGUGGGAAACUACCACAUAAAAUAAAGAAGACUAGUCAUGCACUGCAAGUAGUUGCUAUGUAAUAAGCAUUGACUGCACUGUUCUUUGAAUGUAACAACUAUCUGGUGGCUGAUUUUCUUUUUUUUUCUCCAAGGUUUUUGAUCUGUUUCCUGUAGAAGCAGAUUCCUUGUGCCACAUUCAUGCGUUUCCCAUCACUUUGUAGGCUGAAGAAGAAAUCCAGUCUGCCAAAUUAAUUAGCUAGAAUUCUCCUACGUAGGCGACUUUGUAGGAGUGUGUAGACCUUAGAGGACUGUUUGUCACCAAAUGAACGUGUCUGUGCUAGUUCAGAAUCCCCUUCAAGCUAUGUCUGAAAUAUUUUUCUGUUCAAAUGAGUUAUUCCUUCUCGUGGGUGUAAUGAAGAAUCUUGUCCUACAUCUUCAUUUGUAUAUACUAGGUUCAUGACAGAGCAACUUAGUCAUAUGAAAGAAUGCAGAUAUCACCUCCCUUCUAUACUGUGUAAACCAGUGUGAGUACUGGAGCUGUGCAACUAACAGACAAGUAGAACCAGGUCUGUGAGGUCUACCAAAACAAGUAGGUUGUGAAGUCUGCAUAGUCAAGUUAAAAAUCUAAUCUGUCUGUAUGGAUACUUAAUCAUGGACAUACAAGUUCACAUUCAAGUUAACCUUAAUUACACCUCUCAGCUCUUCCACCUAAAUGAACAAUACUUUGAUGAAUGUUGCUUUGUUUUUUUAAUAAUUAUCCUCCCAUUAUACAGCAACUGAAUAUUCCUAUUCUACUUAUUGGCUUUUGUGCAUAGAAGAGGUACACUGAAAACUAAAUAUAUCCAAUAUUAAUUAAAAUAUGUAUCUAAGAAGGACAGCAAGACAAUUCUUCUUUACAGCUUGAUGAUAAGAUUUGUCUAUGCAUGAAAAAAACUCAGCCAGUCAACGUCUUCUACUUCAAUUUCAGAUUUAUGUUUACAUCUGUGAAAAUGAGUAACGAUUGCCUCCUGCAUUUUACA